rnacentral:rRNA from 1 species
GUGGGGAAUCUUCCGCAAUGGGCGAAAGCCUGACGGAGCAACGCCGCGUGAAUGAAGAAGGCCUUCGGGUCGUAAAGUUCUGUCUUUAGGGACGAAUGGGUAUGCGCAAAUAGUGUAUGCUUUGACGGUACCUUAGGAGGAAGCUCCGGCUAACUACGUGCCAGCAGCCGCGGUAAUACGUAGGGAGCAAGCGUUGUCCGGAAUUACUGGGCGUAAAGGGCGGGUAGGCGGGAAUGCAAGUCAGAUGUGAAAACUCCGGGCUCAACUUGGAGAUUGCAUUUGAAACUGUGUUUCUUGAGGGCAGGAGAGGAAAGUGGAAUUCCUAGUGUAGCGGUGAAAUGCGUAGAUAUUAGGAGGAACACCAGUGGCGAAGGCGACUUUCUGGACUGUACCUGACGCUGAGGCGCGAAAGCGUGGGUAGCAAACGGGAUUAGAAACCCCAGUAGUCC